rnacentral:rRNA from 1 species
AGGGCGAACGCUGGCGGCAGGCUUAACACAUGCAAGUCGAGCGGGCGUAGCAAUACGUCAGCGGCAGACGGGUGAGUAACGCGUGGGAACAUACCUUUUGGUUCGGAACAACCCAGGGAAACUUGGGCUAAUACCGGAUAAGCCCUUACGGGGAAAGAUUUAUCGCCGAAAGAUUGGCCCGCGUCUGAUUAGCUAGUUGGUGAGGUAACGGCUCACCAAGGCGACGAUCAGUAGCUGGUCUGAGAGGAUGAUCAGCCACAUUGGGACUGAGACACGGCCCAAACUCCUACGGGAGGCAGCAGUGGGGAAUAUUGGACAAUGGGCGCAAGCCUGAUCCAGCCAUGCCGCGUGAGUGAUGAAGGCCCUAGGGUUGUAAAGCUCUUUUGUGCGGGAAGAUAAUGACGGUACGCAAGAAUAAGCCCCGGCUAACUUCGCGCCAGCAGCCGC